CCACACAGGGAGACACGGAGGCUGGAGCGGUAUGCCUCACUCGGAGGGCUUGUUGGGCAAACAUAAGGAAACAACUGCGGACCCGGCAAGAGAGAAAAACCCGUGUGCUUAUUGGUGCGAAACAAGCUGUGAAAGUAAGAUGAUUCAGAGAACCUGACACGAAGUUCUGUUCAAUGCAAGUGACUGAGUAUGAAGUUUGGUUCAACGAGCAUUAAAGAUAAGUAGAGGGAAGUUGGUUUGCCUGCGCGAGUGUAUGUGACAUUUCUCCGGCGGUGUGCGCCUGUGACUGAGACUGUUUUAUUGUUUGCCCACAGUGUUGCGGAGUAGCAGGAGCCUGCCUGUGAAAGUGAGACAACAAGCCUUUCCAACUUGACGCCAAACAAGGCGGACUCUCGGACUAUUGUGCAUGGCUUUUCUAGUGGACUGCUCCUUUUGGUUUUAUUGUUAAUUCAAUGUUAAUGGACAAUGGACUGCCUGUGAAUUUAUGAGGAUUGCAUGUAAAAAUGGGCUGAACACCU